GAUGAACGCUAGCGGCAGGCCUAACACAUGCAAGUCGAACGAGGUCUUCGGACCUAGUGGCGGACGGGUGAGUAACACGUGGGAACGUGCCCUUUGGUACGGAAUAACUCAGGGAAGCUUGAGCUAAUACCGUAUGUGCCCUUCGGGGGAAAGAUUUAUCGCCAUUGGAGCGGCCCGCGUCUGAUUAGCUAGUUGGUGAGGUAAUGGCUCACCAAGGCGACGAUCAGUAGCUGGUCUGAGAGGAUGACCAGCCACAUUGGGACUGAGACACGGCCCAAACUCCUACGGGAGGCAGCAGUGGGGAAUCUUGCGCAAUGGGCGAAAGCCUGACGCAGCCAUGCCGCGUGGAUGAUGAAGGUCUUAGGAUUGUAAAAUCCUUUCACCGGUGAAGAUAAUGACUGUAGCCGGAGAAGAAGCCCCGGCUAACUUCGUGCCAGCCGCCGCAGUAAUAC
rnacentral:rRNA from 1 species